UACGAAGGUCCCAAGCGUUAUCCGGAUUUAUUGGGGUUAAAGGGUGCGUAGGCGGUUUAUUAAGUCAGUGGUGAAAGCCCCAAGCUCAACUUGGGAACUGCCAUUGAUACUGAUGAUCUUGAGUACAUUUGAGGUGGGCGGAAUGUGUCAUGUAGCGGUGAAAUGCUUAGAUAUGACACAGAACACCGAUUGCGAAGGCAGCUCACUAAACUGUAACUGACGCUGAGGAGCGAAAGCGUGGGGAGCAAACAGG
rnacentral:rRNA from 1 species